UACGUAGGGGGCAAGCGUUGUCCGGAAUUAUUGGGCGUAAAGAGCUCGUAGGCGGUGUGUCGCGUCGGUCGUGAAAACUUUCAGCUUAACUGGGAGCUUGCGGUCGAUACGGGCAUCACUGGAGUUCGGCAGGGGAGACUGGAAUUCCUGGUGUAGCGGUGAAAUGCGUAGAUAUCUGGAGGAACACCGGUGGCGAAGGCGGCAUCCUGGACCGGUAUUGACGCUGAGGCGCGAAAGCCAGGGGAGCAAACGGG
rnacentral:rRNA from 1 species